UUUCUUAUCUGGCAGUUGGAAUUCCACAAUCAAGAAGGUAAUUUUCACAGGAUGAGGCUCUUCCAUUGUACUUUUCAGCUGGGCAGACCCCUGUGAUUUCCCCAAAUGUGGGAAUCUCAGCUGCAUAAUUUAUGGUAGUGUGGGACUGCAUUCGCCUGUUUCUCUUA